rnacentral:lncRNA from 1 species
CUGGCUCUAACAAGAGCGUAAUCGAUAACUGCUCAGAGGUGCCCAAGAUGUCACAAAGGAUCUUGCCUAGCGUGCUGCAAGGGAAGAUCAUAAGCUGCAAAGGGAAAGUUCACUCUUGUCCUGAUGCUUUCAUGCUCUACCUGUGACUUGUACUGUGCCUACUGGUGAAUCUGUAGGUGCUUUUUUCUUUAUCAGUGAAAGCCAAGGCCUGCCAGGG